AUUGAAUGCUGGCGGCAUGCUUUACACAUGCAAGUCGAGCGGUUGAAGGGAGCUUGCUCCCUGAUUCAGCGGCGGACGGGUGAGUAAUGCCUAGGAAUCUGCCUAUUCGUGGGGGACAACGUUUCGAAAGGAACGCUAAUACCGCAUACGUCCUACGGGAGAAAGCAGGGGACCUUCGGGCCUUGCGCGAAUAGAGGAGCCUAGGUCGGAUUAGCUUGUUGGUGAGGUAAUGGCUCACCAAGGCGACGAUCCGUAACUGGUCUGAGAGGAUGAUCAGUCACACUGGAACUGAGACACGGUCCAGACUCCUACGGGAGGCAGCAGUGGGGAAUAUUGGACAAUGGGCGAAAGCCUGAUCCAGCCAUGCCGCGUGUGUGAAGAAGGUCUUCGGAUUGUAAAGCACUUUAAGUUGGGAGGAAGGGUUGUAGAUUAAUACUCUGCAAUUUUGACGUUACCGACAGAAUAGGCACCGGCUAACUCUGUGCCAGCCGCCGCCGUAAGAC
rnacentral:rRNA from 1 species